rnacentral:rRNA from 1 species
GACGAACGCUGGCGGCGUGCUUAACACAUGCAAGUCGAACGGAGUGGCGAACGGGUGAGUAACACGUGGGUGAACUGCCCUGCACUUCGGGAUAAGCCUGGGAAACUGGGUCUAAUACCGGAUAGUGUGGGAUGGGCCCGGGGCCUAUCAGUUUGUGGGGGGGGUAAUGGCCUACCAAGGCGGCGACGGAUAGCCGGCCGGGGAGGGGGGACGGCCACAUUGGGACUGUGACACGUCCCAGGCUGCUACGGGUGGCAGCGGUGGGAAAUAUUACACAAUGGGCGGGAGCCAGUGGCAGCGGCGCUGCGUGGGGAAUGACGUCCUUCGGGUUGUAAACUCCUUUCACCAUCGACGCGGUAGAUGGAGAAGAAGCACCGGCUAACUCCGUGCCAGCCGCCGCGGUAAUUC